rnacentral:misc_RNA from 1 species
GUGGGAUAGAAACUAUUUACCAAAAGGGCUAGGAUUUGGUGAUUUCGAAAAGAGAGAGUGGCAGACUCUACUCAUAUUAGCGUCUACGUGUUUGAAAAAAUUAAAUAACUAUCCAUUGGACUAAAGUAUAAAAAAAAUAAUUAAAAAAUUGUGUGGUAGCAAGUGGCUGUCCAUGCCUGUUCCUGUCCUGCAUCGCUGUCCGUGUCGAUUCUGAAGUAUUGUGUGGCGUGCAUCUUGGCAGAUGGAUGCUAGUGUUGAUAGCAACUUGCUGAGUGGCUGAGAAGAUUCCUUCCUCGCAUGGCAUGCCUAGUAGUGCAUGUGAAAUUCUUCCUUGGUAGCUAGAUUGAGUCAUGGGUAGCGUCUAGCUGCCUAAUUUUCCUCCAGACGCUAUAAUUUAAAUGCACUCCAAAGCUCUUCCAUUUGCUCUUCAGCAAUUGUGUGGCGUGCAUCUUGGCAGAUGGAUGCUAGUGUUGAUAGCAACUUGCUGAGUGGCUGAGAAGAUUCCUUCCUCGCAUGGCAUGCCUAGUAGUGCAUGUGAAAUUCUUCCUUGGUAGCUAGAUUGAGUCAUGGGUAGCGUCUAGCUGCCUAAUUUUCCUCCAGACGCUAUAAUUUAAAUGCACUCCAAAGCUCUUCCAUUUGCUCUUCAGCAAUAGCAAAACAAAUUACAGCACU